ACGGCCACAUCACGUGGAAACACCGGAUCUCGUAUGAUCAGUGAAGUUAAGCAAUGUCGAGCCUGGUCUGUACCUAGAUGGGUGAUCGCUUGGAAAUUACAGGUGCUGCAAA